UAAAAUUAUGUUUUUGGGGUGAUUUAAGAGGGGACUCGGCGAGUUGGAGCCUAGACUCGCCGAGUAGGAUCGCGGACUUGGUCGCGGGUCCGCGACUGGACUCGACGAGUCCAGAUAUGGACUCGGCGAGUCGACGCUGUUCAGCAGAAACCCUAACCGUUCAGUUUGGAUCGUAUUUAACGCCUCUUAGGCCGUCAUUUUCAGUCUUUUGGUCGAUUGAGAGGAACCCUAAUCGCUGUGGACGCCUAGAGCAGGAGAGAAAGCUUUGGAACUUGGAAGAAUUGGUUAGGCAAGAAGAAGAGGGAUUUGGCUAAAGGAAUAUCAAGGAGGAUUGAGUCCUGAGAUUUGGGGGACACAGAGAGUGCGUUUUCAGGGAGGUUGUAGCUCGUCGGUUGUGCACGAUUCAUUUCAGGAGUUGCUAGCUUUCAGCAUAUACGAGAGAUAUCAUGGUUAGACCGCGGCACGGGGCAAGUACGAGCGGUGUGAGUGACGAGGAUAUUCGUCAGAUGAUCCACGAGGAGGUGGCGGCGGCGAUCCGGGCUGAGAUCCCGGAGAUGUUUGGGUCUAUCAAGACCACCCUG